AUUGAACGCUGGCGGCAUGCCUUACACAUGCAAGUCGAACGGUAACAGGUCUUCGGAUGCUGACGAGUGGCGAACGGGUGAGUAAUACAUCGGAACGUGCCCGAUCGUGGGGGAUAACGGAGCGAAAGCUUUGCUAAUACCGCAUACGAUCUACGGAUGAAAGCAGGGGACCGCAAGGCCUUGCGCGGACGGAGCGGCCGAUGGCAGAUUAGGUAGUUGGUGGGAUAAAAGCUUACCAAGCCGACGAUCUGUAGCUGGUCUGAGAGGACGACCAGCCACACUGGGACUGAGACACGGCCCAGACUCCGACGGGAGGCAGCAGUGGGGAAUUUUGGACAAUGGGCGCAAGCCUGAUCCAGCCAUGCCGCGUGCAGGAUGAAGGCCUUCGGGUUGUAAACUGCUUUUGUACGGAACGAAACGGCUCUUUCUAAUAAAGAGGGCUAAUGACGGUACCGUAAGAAUAAGCACCGGCUAACUACGUGCCAGCCGCCGCAGUAAGAC
rnacentral:rRNA from 1 species